UUACGGCCAUAUCACGUUGAAACACCUGUUCCCGUGCGAUAAAUGAAGUUAAGCAACGUUGGGCCUGGUCAGAACUUAGAUGGGUGACUGUUUGGGAAUGCCAGGUGCUGUAAG